rnacentral:lncRNA from 1 species
AUUACACACACACACACACACACACACACACACACACACACACACACACACACAAAACACAACUCACGCAUGCGCAGUAGGAAGUUACCGUUCUCAAACAGGAAACUGAACAGAAACCCGCACAAGACCGUUGUGGCACCUUUCAGAAGGAAGCGCUAAGAGGACCGGGGCCGUUACACGUACGCCUUCCCAGUGACAGCACUCAUCUUGUUCCACCAAUUGGAAGGACUGCAGCCUCACCUCAGACCCACUGGUCAACAUACAUUCCACUCCUGAAAUGUUCCUCCCCUUGAGAUUCACAGGACACACCACUGUACCUGGAUGUAGUGAUGUAAUGGUGCCCCAAGUCCCUAUGGCCAGAACCUCCUCACCAGGACAGACCCACAUGCCUCUCUCCAGCUGCCUUUGUCCGGAUCCAGUGAUCCGAGUCUGCAGGUUGACUACGUUGGAAAUCAACAGGAUCCAAGAGGCACUUACCACGUCACCUCAGCUCCUGCUCAUUUCCUUCAUUGCACUCUAAAGAGUAGGAUCAGUAGGGCUGUUUGUUUGUUUGUUUGUUUGUGGUUGCCCUCUUGUUAUUAUUCCGCUAGCUGUUCUCCCUGCUCACUGUGAGCUCUGUGUAGGCAGGUGUGCUGGUUUGAAUAUACUUGGCCCAGGGAAUGGCACUAUUUGUAGGUAUGGCCUUGUUGGAAUGGGUGUGGCCUUGUUGAAGGAAGUGUGUCAUUGUGGGCAUGGGCUUUAAGAUCCUUAUCCUGGGGGCCCUCAGGUGUAGACUCUUGGCUCCUGCUGCACCACACCUGCCUGGAUGCUGCCAUGUUCCCACCUUGAUGAUAAUGGACUGAACCUCUGAACCUGUAAGCCAGCCCCAAUUAAAUGUUGUCAUUUAUAAGGCUUGCCUUGGCCAUGGAAUCUGUUCA